rnacentral:rRNA from 1 species
ACAAGAAUAGCUUCGUGAAAACGGAGGUAAUACUUGAUGUGAUUUUAGCAUCGCAUGGUGCUUUUAUUAAAGGUUGGGAUCCUUCGGGACCUGCCACUUCUAGAUGAUCUCGCGACCUAUCAGCUUGUUGGUGAGGUAAUGGCUCACCAAGGCAUUUGACGGGUAGCUGGUCUGAGAGGAUGAUCAGCCACACUGGGACUGAGACACUGCCCAG